CGUGUAGUCCAGGACGUGACAGCUGUGUUGAGUGACAUAGCUCGACAAGAGAUAAAAAUGACCUCCACGAUGCAUGCAUUGAUGGAAUCGGCAACAGCUUUUGCAAGAGUUCGGAGUUUCCCUCGGGUUAUUGGUGCCAUUGAUUGUACUCAUAUUUCCAUUAAGGCACCCCAUGAAAAUGAGGCUGCCUACGUGAACAGGAAGAGGUACCACUCUUUCAACAUCCAAGUUGUGUGUGAUGCUGCUGGUAUGAUCAUCAGCUAUUGUGUCAUUUCCAGGUAAGUGUUCCUUAUUGAUGAUAUCAUUUAUUGUUAGGCAUGUUAAUAGUUAAAUCACAAACAUCCCUUACCUGCUACAGCAUUUCUAAAGUUUGAUUUUUAGCAAGAAUAAUUGCAGAUUAGCUAUUUAGGCAAUGGAACUUGAGCAUUUGAAGAUGCUAAGACUCCACCAGCGUUGGGCACACCAAACAUGCUACAGCUUUUCUCUUGAGUCUGGUAUUUUUUUCCAGUAUUAACAUGUCCAUGUUUUGGAAUCCUUUUUUUUAUUCUCCCCUUUUUAGCAGGGUCAAAUCACGACUCCUUCAUCUGGCACCAUUGCGACCUAUAUGAACGCUUUCGCAGGGGUGAGUUUGGGGACUACCUGCUCCUUGGUGCGUAUCUGGAGGGAUGUUGAUGUUCUUGACAAAUGUUGCAUUACAUAUGUUACAUAAAUACCUUUUCAGUAAAUACUUAGUGUGUUACAGUAGCUUUCUUAAGUAGUUAUUUCACAUCCUGAAAAUGAUAUCACAUGACUGUAAUCUUUACAGGUGACAGCGGCUAUGCAUUAGAGCCAUUUUUGAUGACUCCAGUCCGCAACCCCACAACAGAACCGGAGGAGCGCUACAAUAGGGCCCAUACACGGACACGUGUCGUUGUGGAGCAAACCUUUGGAAUACUAAAGAGCCGGUUCAGGUGCCUUCACAAAUCUGGGGUGCCUUGCAGUAUGCUCCCAUGAAGUGCCUCAACAUCAUCACCUCAUGUUUACUGCUGCACAACCGCUGUGUCCAG